AUCCGGAAUCAUUGGGCGUAAAGCGCCUGUAGGUUGUUUAAUAAGUCCGUUGUUAAAGACUAGGGCUUAACCCUAGGAAAGCGAUGGAAACUGAUAGACUUGAGUAUGGCAGGGGUAGAGGGAAUUUCUAGUGUAGCGGUGAAAUGCGUAGAUAUUAGAAAGAACACCGGUGGCGAAAGCGCUCUACUGGACCAUUACUGACACUGAGAGGCGAAAGCUAGGGGAGCGAAAGGGAUUAGAUACCCCUGUAGUCCUAGCCAUAAACGAUGGAUACUAGAUGUUGUGCAAUUUGGACAGUAUCGUAGCUAACGCGUUAAGUAUCCCGCCUGGGGAGUACGCUCGCAAGGGUGAAACUCAAAGGAAUUGACGGGGGCCUGCACAAGCGGUGGAGCAUGUGGUUUAAUUCGAUGCAACGCGAAGAACCUUACCAGGGCUUGACAUACUAUAGAUCUUUUUGAGAAAGAAGAGUGCCUUCGGGAAUGUAGAUACAGGUGGGGCAUGGCUGUCGUCAGCUCGUGUCGUGAGAUGUUGGGUUAAGUCCCGCAACGAGCGCAACCCUCGUUUUUAGUUGCCAAUUUAUUGGGAUCUCUAGAAAGACUGCCGGUGACAAACCCGGAGGAAGGUGAGGAUGACGUCAAGUCAGCAUGCCCCUUAUGUCCUGGGCCACACACGUGCUACAAUGGUAAAGACAAAGC
rnacentral:rRNA from 1 species